CAGAUAUAGCUCCAAACAUUCAUUCUCUGACUACUAAACAGGAUAACCCCUUUUGUCUUGGUGUUUCCUGCAAUCUCAGAAGCUGGGACUAGGGGACUGAAGGGCCAAAAUCCAUGAAUGUAUAUGUAAGAUCUUAACCAGAGUUUCUGUUAAGAACUUUUCAUAUAGUCCACAGCUUGGUCUGGGGCAUGAGGGCCAGCUAACAAGGAACAAUAUAUGGCUAGAAGAAAGCUGGGGUAGACAGACAACCUUGUGUGUUUCAACUAGACAAGCGGAGUCACCAUAACUCCAGAUGGUUAAUGAUUAGCAUUGUGCUCAGACUGUAAAUGGGCGCCGGUGGUGAACCAUCCAGUCCUUCAUUCAGACGUGACAAACCCAAGAGUUUGUUACACUCACAGGGAGCAGGAGAUCUGCAAGAGAUCUGAACAGAGCAAUAGACACCACAGCCAAGUGUUACCGUAGAACAUUUCAAGUAUCAUGGCAGAGUGAGGAGCAAGGUGAAACAGUAGCUGCGUACGUGGAAGAACUAAAAACAUUAGCUGACUAGCGAUUGGUUGGAAAUGUCCUAUGUGCUGCAGCGGAGAUUAGUGACACUACAAACCAAUGAGGGAAUUCAAAGAUGAUUGCUGGCAGAAGGGGACGUAACCUGGCCCAAAGCAACAGACUGAGCAACAGCAAUGGAAGCAGCAGUGAAAAAAACUUACAAGCUUUGCACUUAAAAUGAAGGGACAAAUCGAAGUGACUCAGGAGCCUGA